rnacentral:rRNA from 1 species
CGCGUAGGCUGUUGAGUAAGUCAAAUGUGAAAUCCCCGGGCUUAACCUGGGAACUGCAUUCGAUACUGCUUAACUAGAGUAUGGUAGAGGGAAGUGGAAUUCCGGGUGUAGCGGUGAAAUGCGUAGAUAUCCGGAGGAACACCAGUGGCGAAGGCGACUUCCUGGGCCAAUACUGACGCUGAGGUGCGAAAGCGUGGGGAGCAAACA